rnacentral:rRNA from 1 species
UGGGGAAUAUUGCACAAUGGGCGCAAGCCUGAUGCAGCCAUGCCGCGUGUAUGAAGAAGGCCUUCGGGUUGUAAAGUACUUUCAGCGGGGAGGAAGGCGAUAAGGUUAAUAACCUUGUCGAUUGACGUUACCCGCAGAAGAAGCACCGGCUAACUCCGUGCCAGCAGCCGCGGUAAUACGGAGGGUGCAAGCGUUAAUCGGAAUUACUGGGCGUAAAGCGCACGCAGGCGGUCUGUCAAGUCGGAUGUGAAAUCCCCGGGCUUAACCUGGGAACUGCAUUCGGAACUGGCAGGCUAGAGUCUUGUAGAGGGGGGUAGAAUUCCAGGUGUAGCGGUGAAAUGCGUAGAGAUCUGGAGGAAUACCGGUGGCGAAGGCGGCCCCCUGGACAAAGACUGACGCUCAGGUGCGAAAGCGUGGGGAGCAAACA